UUCUCGGUGAGAUGAAUCCUUACCUGUCCCUUCUUUUGGAAGGCGGAUAGAAAAUGGUGAUUAGAGUCCACACCAUGUGUGGUCAGCCUCUCUGUGUAAAUAGAGCCCACAGCGAGCUGGAGAGAUGGCUCAGAG